rnacentral:rRNA from 1 species
CGUAGGGUGCGAGCGUUAACCGGAAUUACUGGGCGUAAAGCGUGCGCAGGCGGUUUUGUAAGCCAGAUGUGAAAUCCCCGGGCUUAACCUGGGAAUGGCAUUUGGGACUGCAAGGCUUGAGUGCGGCAGAGGAGACUGGAAUUCCCGGUGUAGCAGUGAAAUGCGUAGAUAUCGGGAGGAAUACCGAUGGCGAAGGCAGGUCUCUGGGCUGACACUGACGCUCAUGCAGGAAAGCGUGGGGAGCAAACAGGAUUAGAUACCCUGGUAGUCCACGCCCUAAACGAUGUCGACUGGUUGUUGGGGGUUUGACACUCUCAGUAACGAAGCUAACGCGUGAAGUCGACCGCCUGGGGAGUACGGCCGCAAGGUUA